rnacentral:rRNA from 1 species
GACAGAGGCCUCAAGCGUUAGGCGGAAUCACUGGGCUUAAAGCGUGUGUAGGCGGAUCGUUAAGUACCUUGUGAAAUCCCACGGCUCACCCGUGGAACUGCUGGGUAUACUGGCGAUCUUGGGCCAACUAGGGGCAACUGGAACAAGCGGUGGAGCGGUGAAAUGCGUAGAUAUCGCUUGGAACGCCAACGGUGAAAACAGGUUGCUGGGGUUGUGCCGACGCUG